rnacentral:lncRNA from 1 species
CUGGCUCUUCCCUUUAGCUCAUUAAUGUCUCUACAUCAAAUUGAUUUCCCUAGUAUUUGUUUAAUCAGGUGAAUCUACAGAGAAGGCAGACAAGCAGGGGAGAGAGGCAGCACCUAGCAAGGAAAACACUACAGGUGCAGUCUUACUGAUCCCCACAGUCUAAAGUGGAAGUAGAACUUUUGAUGCAAAUGCAUGAUCAUCCAUCAUUUAUCGUGUGGUCUCAGAAAAAGAGUAUUUGGCAGGUGUAACAGAAUCCCUAUAACAUUUAAGAGCGGAUUGCCUCACAAUGUUUUGUGAUAUUGUGUGAUAUUGAUUGAAGUCCUUUUUCAUUUCUAAAUCAAAACUGUCAGUGGGGAAUACUCUGGACAAAACAUCCUACUACUGCUCAUACAUGAUCAUGGAUCCAUUCAAAGUGGCGACCACACAGUAUUGCACCAUGAACCUCUCCUACAUCUGUCAACUGGAUCUGAAACCCUCAACACAACUUCAGGCUGCUGACAACACUAGUCAGAGAUUGAUUCAUCGGACCAAACGGAGCACACCUGCAGGUCAGUGAGAUCAUUUAGCUUUUUUAUUUAGUAUACAAUUUAUGGUUAGGUUUAAUUACAGGGAAAACACUCAUCCACCUCCUCUCUUGCUAUUUGCAGAAACACAAAUUGAGCAUCAUUUGAGUACCAUGACAAACAAGCUUAAACUGCUUGACCUUGAUGCUUUCCUAGAGGUCAGAUUUCAUUAAGACAUUCUGAUAUCCUUUGUUAUUCUAUAUUACUGUCAUAUAAAUACCUUGUGUCAUGUUCCCAACAGGCAGCCGUUGGCUUACUAGAUUUGAGCGAGACCAUGUUAGAAGGACCCACACACAGCCAGAG